rnacentral:rRNA from 1 species
GACGAACGCUGGCGGCGUGCUUAACACAUGCAAGUCGAACGGCAAGGCCCUGCUUUUGUGGGGUGCUCGAGUGGCGAACGGGUAAGUAACACGUGAGUAACCUGCCCUUGACUUUGGGAUAACUUCAGGAAACUGGGGCUAAUACCGGAUAGGAGCUCCUGCUGCAUGGUGGGGGUUGGAAAGUUUCGGCGGUUGGGGAUGGACUCGCGGCUUAUCAGCUUGUUGGUGGGGUAGUGGCUUACCAAGGCUUUGACGGGUAGCCGGCCUGGGAGGGGGACCGGCCUCAAUGGGACUGAGAGACGGCCCAGACGCCUACGGGAGGCAGCAGGGGGGAAUAUUGCACAAUGGGCGGAAGCCGGAUGCAGCAACGCCGCGGGCGGGAUGACGGCCUUUGGGUUGUAAACCGCUUUCGCCUGUUACCAAGCGGGAGUGACGGUAAUGGGUAAAGAAGCACCGGCUAACUUCGUG